rnacentral:lncRNA from 1 species
CAUUGGGAAUUCGAAGUUUUCUCUAUAUGUAUAUGUUGAUCAAUCUUUAUAUAUCGGCCGAUUUAUCCAUUUCCUUUCAAAUGUUUCAUUUACAAGUAGAAGGCUUGACCAAUUGUGGAGACCAGAGAUAAACUCAGAAGAUUGCUGGCUCAAUGACAUACCAUAAUCACAUCGUAGCGAAAUGGAUGGAUGACAUCUGACU